UCUUCCAUGCAAUUAGGGAGGAAAGGAACUAAGCAGAAGGGUCCCAGGUACCAGGAAAAGAGUUCACAGGAAAGCCCUAGGAACUGUGACAGCUCCCACCAACCCAACUACAGGGAUCUGCUUGUUCCAAGAAAGCGCUCAACAGUAACAACAGCAAAAGGCAAGCACGUGGGAGGGACUGUGGGAUUCCUUUGGCUGACCAGAGGCUGACGGGGAAAGGCUGUUCCCGUCUUUCUGUGUACCCUCUUCCACCUCCAACUACAUCUCCCUGCAUGUUGACAACAGGUCACAGAAGCCCUUCACGCAGAAGAGCAGUCACUUCCACAUCUGUCAGUCCUCUUAAGUGCCCUCCUGCCAGCCAGAACUGCUACAGACAGUGUCAUUUUGAUAGGGACACCUAGUGUGGUGCAUUGUUUCUCAAGACUCUUACCAAACAAGCAUAAAUUUAGUCCUGAUGAUGUUGAGGACAUCUAAGGAACAAACUGUCUUUACAAAUCACUUUCAAGGAUCUUUGUCAACAACAUAGAAGGCUUUACUCACAAGAGUGUCCCAAAUUUGACUGGGACAGACCACAGUUCUCCUCUCCCGGGAGAGGAGAAGCAGCUGUUUGAGGCGCUCCUAGUGCCACACCUGCCUCAGGUGUGAGGGGCAGCACGAUGCUACAUGGAAGGAAGGCACACCUGCUCAUCUCACUGCACCUCUCUGGCAUUCCUGACACUGAUUUUAUUUGGAGAGGAGCAACUAGUGGGACUGGAGACCAGAGCCUCCCACAGCCUAGGCAGUGCUUUGCGGGCAUAAAGUCCUCUACACUGGCUGUACGAGCAAAGGUCCGCCUGAAGAUGGCUGCUCUGCUAAUCCGUGAAGUCAGCGUUAGAUUUCUCCUGCUGCCUAUUUCAGAACUACCCUCAAAGUUCUCUAGAAAAAUCCUUUUAACAUUCCAAAUUCGUUCUCUACCCACCAAGAAGAAAAACCUAUCUUAUGCACGUAGAAAACUUGCAAGCACAUAUAACAAGAACUAAAGCUAAAGCCGGGUGCAGUGGGUGCUGGGACUGGAGAAGCACACAAAGGCAUGCACUUCCUGAAAACUGUACAGCCAGGCCUUACCCACCAAAACAGUGAAUGUGUCCCACACGUCAUGUGUGAGUACUGCUACCAAAGACAAGCAGAAUCUCCAGACAUAACAAACGGGCAGAACCAUACACUGGAGACUUUGCUGUAAUGAUGUUAUAAACCAAGUGUUAUCAGGAAGGAAUUCUAAGACUGCACAAUUACACAGAAACAUCCAAACUAGCAUUUUAUUAUUGAAUACUGGCACAUCCAUGGCCAGAGCCAUGCUCUUACAGGUGGAAAAUCAGCAGCCAACUUAGUCCUCGCCCAUAAGUGUUAAAGUUGGUCUGGCCAGGGCCCUGUGAAAAGUUCCUCCCCAAAACAGUGCUGGACCUGAGCAUAGAAGCGUACAUCUCAAGCCACCUUUGAAAGCAAUCUCAUUACCCUAGACUCAAUGGGUGAAAGUGUAUUACUGGAAAAUUAAAAAUAGUCCUAGUGGUCUGGGAAGGGUACCAAAUCUGCAUUGUCUUUGCCAUUCUAGUUACAUAAGGUCACUAUUACAUAAGAACACAGAAUUUCAGAAUUUCCUUCUUAGCAACCUCCAAACACUUGGUUAUAUAUUUCAUCUAACAGCUGGGCCACAGUAGGAACCACUCUUACCCGACACAAACAGCAGAAAUAUAUAAAAAUAGAUGUUUCUUGAACUUGGUGGAAGGCAGGAACAGGGUGAACUGGAAGCUGCAUUGCUGGGGUAAUGGGCCUCCUCCAGCUCCCUCCCUUCAAGGCAGCAGGGGCAUUCAACCUGAGGAUUCUGAAAUCAAUCUGACCUCACCUGACUUUCGAUGGCCAAAGAGGAACGCAGCAUUCUUCAAGGGCUUCUUGGGUUCCGAGAGAUAGAAACAGUCCAAAAAGCAGCUGGAAAUCUGGUGUGUGUUGGUUCAGAUGUUGGCAUCGAGCAGAAUCUCAUGGGAACUUGUUGUGAGUCAGCCACCAGAUAAAUGAGUAACCUUGGGGAAGUUACUUGGCGUGCCAGUCUAUUUCCUAACCUGUACCUCCUGAGGUACUUCCUGCAAGACUGAUACUGCAGAGAGCACAUGGCACUUAGAGGAAGGACAAGCUGUGACAAGGGACAGCUGUCAUCAGUGUCAUCACUUAUACUGAGCUAGCAGAGCAGGGCCCUGAACCAGUCCUCCUGAAACCUAUGGCACCUAGUUCCUCACACGUGGACACUCACUCUCGGGGAUCAACCCAGGCCUGUGGCACAGUCUCUGGCAAAUCAGCCACACGAUGUUCUGCUACCUCUUAGAGAUAGCUUCUGCAGACUACACUGGGGACAGAGGCUCUGUGGUAGCCUUGAGUGAAACCCUAUUUGCCCCCAAGGCUCAUUUCUGUGCUGUCUGAAUGCUCUCACAUUCGCUACCUGUCCAGGAAACCUCUCAAGCUUGCACUCAGAUUCACUGUGCUUCUCCAUCUAACUACCCGCCACAGUCAUCAGCAUGACCCCACCAUCCCAGUGCUUCAGGCCAAUCCCAGCCUCCCUUCAACUCUGCUAUCUCCCUCACAUCCCAAACGGAGGCACCACCUGAGAAUCCCAUUGACUGCCAGGCACAGCCCAGUGCCACAGAAACAGGGAUCUCUGUUGGAGUCGCCCAUGCACAUACCCCCAAAGCUAAGGACAGCCUGGCUGCAAGCAACUCCAACCUGCAGAAGUGAGUGAGUGAAGGAUGAGCUAGUCUAUGGCUUCCUGGACAGCCCUCCAGAGUCCGUCUUCCUCACUGUCCUGUUACUUUCCAUGGUACUCAGUACCUCUGACCUUUGCUUCAAUUCUACACAAGUGGCACACUGGAGUCUCCCCAAAUCCAAAGGGUCAAUAACUUCUAACAUGCAACAGCAAGCUAGUAUCCUAGCAAAGGUCUACUGGAAAACUCCUACUUUCAGAUUUUAAAAAUACCUAAGUAUCUUUUUUUUUUUUAAAGAACCAUAGAAGAAAUUUGAAAAUAACUCUCUUGAGAAACAUGUUUUACGGAGUAUUGAUAAAACACAUUUUACAAAUUAAACAUCACAAAUUAGAACUUAUCAAAAGCCAUCUCAUUACUACCCAGAGAGAAGGGUAUGACCUAAACUCUCUUAUCAAAAAGGAAAAACCAAACUAAAUGAGCUGAAUGCUUAAUCCAAGAUGAACGAGGACAUCCAAAUCAACACAAGGAGGUGGCGUGAGGAGGACAGCGUGCACACAGGCACAGAGCAGGGAAUCUACAGGGAAGGAAUGGGUUCUCGGAGGGCUAACUGCAGCUACCAGGGCCACGAUGACCCACAGUCCCCAUUAGCUCUCCUCUCAGUCAACAGACACAGUCAGCUGGAAACAUGAAGGAAGGGGCGUGGCCAGGGAUGCCGGAGAAAGGGAGUAAGACACAGCCCAGGCUGCUCACAAUGCUCAGGAGGCCUUAAUGAGAUGGAGAUGGCAUCCCCUACCUCAAACUCUUUACCAACCUGACAGGGCCACCUGCUUCUGCCCUCUGCUCCAGCCAAACACUCAGUCCAUUAGUCAAGAGGCCCCUUGAUCUAGGUUCUGGGGUUCUGGUUCCACAUGGCAGCAUGUGAGCCACUUGGGAACACAGAGACCUGAGGGUUCAACCAAGUGUACAGGGUAUGGCCCCAAAGGGAUUAUCCCUAAAGGUAACCAAUUGUUGGGAGUAGGAAAUAUUAUGCAAGGCUAACAUGUAGCUACUGAAAACUGAUGCCACACCCCAGCUACCUAAGGUAGACAAGGGCUGACAAAAUCCUCCUGCAUGUCCUGGCUGAUUUACCUGAGAUACCAAAGUCUUAAAACCUAUAAUAAAAAUUGAUUCAAAGCG